GAUUCCGUAGCUCAGUUGGUAGAGCACCUCCCUUUUAAGGAGGUGGUCCUGGGUUCGAGCCCCAGCGGGAUCA
rnacentral:tRNA from 1 species